rnacentral:sRNA from 1 species
GCCGUGAGGUGUUGCCUUAAGUGGCGCAACGAGCGCAACCCCUGUCCCAUGUUGCCAGCGAGUCAUGUCGGGGACUCAUGGGAGACUGCCGGUGCCAAACCGGAGGAAGGUGGGGAUGACGUCAGAUCAUCAUGGCCCUUAUGUCCUGGGCUGCACACAUGCUACAAUGCUUGCUACAAAGGGUAGCAAUCCCGCAAGGGGGAGCGAAUCCCAAAAAGGCAAGCUCAGUUCGGAUCGGGGUCUGCAACUCGACCCCGUGAAGCCGGAGUCGCUAGUAAUCGCAGAUCAGCAACGCUGCGGUGAAUACGUUCCCGGGCCUUGUACACACCGCCCGUCACGUCACGAAAGUCGGCAACACCCGAAGCCGGUGGCCCAACCCUUGUGGAGGGAGCCGUCGAAGGUGGGGCCGGCGAUUGGGACGAAGUCGUAACAAGGUAGCCGUACCGGAAGGUGCGGCUGGAUCACCUCCUUUCUAAGGAGCAUUUGGCAACGCCGGCUCGUCCGGUCAAAGCCACGGGUUCGGUAUCCGUGGUCGGGCGAACACCGGAGCUCCAGUCAAUCCACUGGCUACUCCAUCGGCCUACUCGAGGCUGUCCUCGUUCAGUACGCCCUCGCAAGAGGGAGUGGAAAGGCGAGGCCGGACGGAAGGCAAACCGAUGGGGCACACUGUUCAGUCCUGAGGGUGCGAGCCCUCGGACCUCGGACCUCCGCUCCCUCCCGGGGGCGCGUUCGCGGACGGACCUUGAGAACUCAAUAGCGAGCGCGAGCAUCUACAAGUCAAGUUAAUAAGGGCUUACGGUGGAUGCCUUGGCGCCAGGAGCCGACGAAGGACGCGUGAGGCUGCGAAAAGCUUCGGGGAGCCGCCAACAAGGCUUUGAUCCGGAGGUGU